GAUGAACGCUGGCGGCGUGCUUAACACAUGCAAGUCGAACGAGAAGUGAAGACGGAAACCUUCGGGCGGAAGGCUUUAUUUCGAGUGGCGGACGGGUGAGUAACGCGUGGGUAACCUGCCUCAUACAGGGGGAUAACAGUUGGAAACGACUGUUAAUACCGCAUAAGACCACAGCACCGCAUGGUGCGGGGGUAAAAACUCCGGUGGUAUGAGAUGGACCCGCGUUCGAUUAGCCAGUUGGCGGGGUAACGGCCCACCAAAGCGACGAUCGAUAGCCGAUCUGUGAGGAUGACCGGCCACAUUGGGACUGGGACACGGCCCAAACUCCUACGGGAGGCAGCAGUGGGGAAUAUUGCACAAUGGGGGAAACCCUGAUGCAGCGACGCCGCGUGAGUGAAGAAGUAUUGCGGUAUGUAAAGCUCUAUCAGCAGGGAAGAAAAUGACGGUACCUGAGUAAGAAGCCCCGGCUAACUACGUG
rnacentral:rRNA from 1 species